CUUUCUUUCUUUUUCUUCUUUUCCUUUUUCUUCUUCCCUUCUUUCUUUCUUUGCUUUUCUUGCCCAAUCUAUGUAUCACCUAAAUGAGAUUUGGUUCAGACAACUGGAUUUUGGAAAUGUAUAUGUUAAUUGACCUUCACUGGCUGAGAGAUCAGUAAGAAAACUAAAAGGUUUUAUCAAGAGAUACUGAUCACGGAGCUUUGUAAUACGUAUAUUUUUGUCUAAGGUCAAGAAAGAGGCUUUGUGCCAUUCCACAGAUAUUUAGUAAAAAUACUUCAGUUUUAGACCUUAGGAAGUAAACAAUGUGUCACUAGGUGUGCUGCUUCAGAGUGAGAAACUAAACACCCUCCCAACAGCUCACCACAAACAAACUGGUUCCAUCUGCAGGAGGACUGACAAGCCACAGUUGCAGCCAACAAGUUCAAUGCAACUCUUACAUGAGGUCUUACACUCUAGUGAAGUCUCCUGUGAUGGGACUUAUUAAUUAGAAGAGAUAUGCGUUAAGAGCUGAGAUUAAGAAAUUUUGAAACAAAUUGUAUGUUUUUUGUUUUUUUUUUCCUCAUUCUAGUUUUAUAAACCCCUCUCUGCCCUUAAUCAGAGAAUGCCAAUGUUUAGUCCAAAAUCUGUUACCAGUUAGGACAUUACUUUGAAUGCUUCUUUUGACAUCUUACUUUAUAAAACAGAUAUU